AGUGAACGCUGGCGGCAGGCCUAACACAUGCAAGUCGAACGGCAGCACAAGAGAGCUUGCUCUCUGGGUGGCGAGUGGCGGACGGGUGAGGAAUACGUCGGAAUCUUCCUAUUUGUGGGGGAUAACGUAGGGAAACUUACGCUAAUACCGCAUACGACCUACGGGUGAAAGCGGAGGACCUUCGGGCUUAGCGCAGAUAGAUGACCCGACGUCGCAUUACAUAGUUGGCGGUGUAAAGGCCCACCAAGGCGACGAUCCGUAGCUGGUCUGAGAGGAUGAUCAGCCACACUGGAACUGAGACACGGUCCAGACUCAUACGGGAGGUAGCAGUGGGUAAUAUUGGAAAAUGGGCGCAAGCCUGAUCCAGCCAUGCCGCGUGGGUGAAGAAGGCCUUCGGGUUGUAAAGCCCUUUUGUUGGGAAAGAAAAGCAGCCGGUUAAUACCCGGUUGUAAUGACGGUACCCAAAGAAUAAGCACCGGCUAACUUCGUGCCAGCAGCCGCCGUAACAC
rnacentral:rRNA from 1 species